rnacentral:misc_RNA from 1 species
UGGCAGCUCUGAGAAGCGUCACCACAACACCUGGUGCAGGUAAAUUAUCCGCUAUCUUACCAUAGUUUACUCCAAAUGUUCCUUUGAAUGCAUUCACCGUAACAACUUUUUCGUUGAGCCUAUAAAGCACCAUGAUCCACAACUAAAUAAGAACCACAUCUGUGCAUAAAAAUCUAAAUUUUUACAGAUUGUUUGGAUGGAG